AUGAUAGCUCCCCAACCAUUCAAGAUCCAUGAGCAGAUUAUCACAGUAGUGGGGUUUUGCCGCACUGUAGUGUUGACAUUUUGGGAAUGUUUGAGUUUUAACCUUGUCACUCUCAUAACAUUAAGUGUAAGAAUGGAGAACUUUCAAAUUGCAACUUUGAAACUGCUGUAUAUUAGACCUGUCAUGCAAUAUCAUAGCUUUUCUAAACUUAAAAUACUGGUUACAUUUCUGUCUAUUUAA